rnacentral:rRNA from 1 species
UACGUAGGGGGCAAGCGUUGUCCGGAUUUAUUGGGCGUAAAGCGCGUGUAGGCGGCCAGAAAAGUCCGCUGUGAAAGUCGGGGGCUCAACCCUCGGAUGCCGGUGGAUACUGUCGGGCUUGAGUACGGAAGAGGCGAGUGGAAUUCCUGGUGUAGCGGUGAAAUGCGCAGAUAUCAGGAGGAACACCAAUUGCGAAGGCAGCUCGCUGGGACGUUACUGACGCUGAGACGCGAAAGCGUGGGGAGCAAACAGG